rnacentral:rRNA from 1 species
GACGAACGCUGGCGGCGUGCUUAACACAUGCAAGUCGAACGGUAAGGCCCUUCGGGGUACACGAGUGGCGAACGGGUGAGUAACACGUGGGUGAUCUGCCCUGCACUUCGGGAUAAGCCUGGGAAACUGGGUCUAAUACCGGAUAGGACUCCUGGCUUCAUGGUUGGGGGUGGAAAGCUUUUGCGGUGUGGGAUGGGCCCGCGGCCUAUCGGCUUGUUGGUGGGGUAAUGGCCUCCCAAGGCGACGACGGGUAGCCGGCCUGAGAGGGUGACCGGUCACAGUGGGACUGAGAUACGGCCCAGACUCCUACGGGAGGCAGCAGGGGGGAAUAUUGCACAAUGGGCGCAAGCCUGAUGCAGCGACGCCGCGUGAGGGAUGACGGCCUUCGGGUUGUAAACCUCUUUCAGCACCGACGAAGCGCAAGUGACGGUAGGUGCAGAAGAAGGACCGGCCAACUACGUGCCAGCAGCCGCGGUAA